UCUCCGAAUGACAAAUUUUUC
ensembl:piRNA 21ur-4872 ncRNA